rnacentral:rRNA from 1 species
GACGAACGCUGGCGGCGUGCUUAACACAUGCAAGUCGAACGGAAAGGCCCUGCUCUUGUGGGGUGCUCGAGUGGCGAACGGGUGAGUAACACGUGAGUAACCUGCCCUUGACUUUGGGAUAACUUCAGGAAACUGGGGCUAAUACCGGAUAGGAGCUCCUGCUGCAUGGUGGGGGUUGGAAAGUUUCGGCGGUUGGGGAUGGACUCGCGGCUUAUCAGCUUGUUGGUGGGGUAGUGGCUUACCAAGGCUUUGACGGGUAGCCGGCCUGAGAGGGUGACCGGCCACAUUGGGACUGAGAUACGGCCCAGAGUCAUACGGAAGGCAGCAGUGGGGAAUAUGGAACAAUGGGCGGAAGCGUGAUGCAGCAGCGCCGCGUGCGGGAUGACGACCUUCGGGUUGUAAACAGUUUUCGCCUGUGACAAAAGGUGAGUGACGGUAAUGAGUAAAAAAGCAACGGCUAACUACGUG